AACCUGCUGGCCAUGCUCCUUUUGAUGCAGCCCAAUGUAUGGUUGACUUUCUGGGCUGCAAGCACACGUUUCCACCAUCAAACAACACCCCCAGGCCUUUCUCCUCAGAUCUGCUCUUAACUCAUUCUCCACCCUGCCUGGAUUUGUGUUUAAGAUUGCCUCAGGCCCCUUGCAUUUGGCCUUGUUGAACUUCAUCCUAGCAGUUCUUCAGAAUUGUAUCAAAAUGAAACAUAAUUUUGAAGUGUGAGAAAUCCCUUAGAAACAGAACUGUAAGCUUCACUUAUAUUUCAACUGUAAUGCUAAAUGUUUUUCAGGAGCAAUUAAGUAAUUUAUGUAAAGGCCCAAGGACAUUAGGAAGAAAUGUAUCGUUUGUAAGAUUUUAUGUCAUAAGCUUUUGAUUUGGGGAAAUAUUCUCAGGUUACCAAUAGAUUCCAGAUUUACCUGGAACUAUUUUAAAGAUAUAAUCUCUUUCAAAAAAUUAAGGAUUACUUGCACUUAAAGUUCAGGAAAGGCAUAAAAAUAAAUAAGGUUCUUAAAACUUCAUUUUGUUAUUAUGUCUUUUUUUAUGCUUGUCUUUGCCUUGAACCACGUGUAUUUCAAUACCCAUGAGUUUGCUGGCUGAGCAUAACUGUGCAUAGUCAGUCUUUACAACAUUACCUGUUACAGCUAUCAUGUUCAUGACCUGUGCUUUAAAGAAUAAUUAUGCUUAUUAUGCUUCUGUUAUUGAGAUUGCAAAAGGAAGCUGCCUACAUAUUUAACAGCUUACAUAUAAACUGCAAUUGAAUCAGUUAGAUACUUCAGUAUUCAAAACAUGAAAUAGGUCUGUUUAGUAAAUAAAAUGGAAUUGCAUGUAUUGAUUUAAUUUUAAAAAAUCACAACCAAAUAAAUUCAUCUUUUUUUUUGUUGUUGUUUUUAUUCUAGAAUCGAAUGGAAGAAAGCAAAGCACUUUUUAGAACAAUUAUUACAUAUCCAUGGUUCCAGAAUUCUUCAGUUAUUCUGUUCUUAAAUAAAAAAGAUCUCUUAGAGGAGAAAAUUUUGUACUCCCAUCUAGUUGAUUAUUUCCCAGAGUAUGAUGGACCACAACGGGAUGCACAAGCAGCACGAGAGUUCAUCUUGAAGAUGUUUGUAGACCUGAAUCCAGACAGUGACAAAAUUAUCUACUCCCACUUCACAUGUGCUACAGACACAGAGAAUAUACGCUUCGUCUUUGCUGCUGUCAAGGAUACAAUCCUACAGUUAAACCUGAAGGAGUACAACCUGGUUUAACUGUGCCAAGGAGGCCCUGCAAAAUCACCUUUAUGUGACCGAAGAUACAGAAGAGGGACUGUAUUAUCUGUGAAAACAAUUUGCAUAAUACUAAUUUAUUGCUGAAGUUAUAUUCGCUCUGUGAAUAUCCACAGAGUUUGUAGUUAAUAUUAUGUUUUUAUUUAAACAAUAUGGAGAAAAAACAAAAGAUGCUGAACUACAUGCACAGCAAAUUUCCUUAUCUUUUAGGCAAAGCCUCAUGACUCAAUGUGUUUUAAAUUCUCAGUCAUACUCUCACAAAGGAUAAGGUGUUUUUUUUUUUGAUAUUGAAACAAAGUCAAUCCGGUUUCCUCGUUCCCUGACCAUUUCUCUCUCCUUCCUUCCCUUCCCGCUUUAUGUUUUUAAAGGUAUAAUGGCCUUUUUUCCCAGUUGCAUUUCUUGGUAAAAUAUUUUCUAUUGAGUGAUUUGGUCAGGAAAAAUGCCAUCAUCAAUAUUUAAAAUAUCAGUCAUUCCAAUUUUACAAAAUGUACUUUUUCUGAAGGAUCAAAAGUAUUGAUAGUAUGAUUUUUAAAUUCUUGACAUGGGUGUUUUCAUUCUGUCUUCACUUCUGAGGCUAGAAUAUUGGGAUUGCAAAAUAGAAAUACAGAUGUGUAUGGAUGUAAAAUUUAACCAUGCUUUCACAGUUUAGAAAGAUUCACAGAAGACAGUAAUGAAAUACCUAACACAAACCUAGGAUGUACAUGGAAUGUCAUAGAAUCUCUUUUUAAUUGCCAUGUGCCGUUUUUUUCUCUUUUCUUUAUUCACAAAUGUCAAACAGAAAUGUCAUGAACACUACAUUUUUCCCAGUAGCUACAGACUGAAACAGUGUGGGUUGUCUUCUUUUUUUUUUUUCAGUUGUGUGGGUUUUUUUCUUAAGUUAGAGCUUUUUAAAAUGUGUUUUUCCACAUUAGAUUUUUAUAUAUAUAUAUAAUUAAUCUUGCCAAAUCUGUCUUUUUAUAAAACCGAUAUUUUGAAAUAUAAGAUACUGAAUGAAAUACCAAAGUGAUGGAUUGGGAACUGACCUGAUUGAGUCAACUGCCAUAUGAUAAACAUAGUUUCAGUUCCUACAAUCCCCUUUUAGAAAGUGUUCCAUUUUCUAUUGCCAAAAACAACAGUGUGGAUGAAUAUGAUAAUAGAUACAUGUGUAUAAAAGACAGUUUAACUCAUGUCAGAGAUGACAUGAGAUUGCAUACAACAUGUUCUGUAAUAAUAUCAAGGCAUCUUUAGUUUUACAACAUGAAAUGUUUGUUCACUGGUUGCUUGUUCACUGAAUCACAGACAUUUGAUAGGCUUAAUAUAAACGCCUUGAUAUUCUUUAGAAAGAGCUAUGAAUAUAAAUGAAACAUUGAGAAAAUCACUCUAGAAAUUUAAACGUGCUGUUUUUUAACAAAAAAAAAUGCAGUUCAUUGAUGAGUCUUUAUUCUACAGCUUAAGCUGAAAGAGGGUGUUUUUUGACCAGGUGCAUUACUGCUGGCAAGCUACAGAGAACUCAGAUAUGUAAUUGGAUUGUCUGCAAUGCCAAGUAGCACUAGAGUGCACUUAACACAGAAAUUGCUGCCUCUCAGCAGUGUAGGGGAAGUGGAAAAAAGAAUGGCUUAUUAGUUGAGUAACAAAGUUAACAAUAAAGACUAAUGAAUUGUUUUUCAUCCUUAACCCUCCCAGCUCCAAAACAACAAUUAUAAGAACAGCUGAUACUUUUUUCUCCCUUAUAAAACAUCUUAUAAUUAAAAUCUGGUUGUACAUACAUAUAUAUAUAUGGCAGCAUCCAUAUUAUCUUUGUAAUUAUUAAUUUUUGGCAAAUUGAAUGUGCUAUGUUGAUAUGUAUCUAUGUAAUUGUACUGUAUGUCAUAGCUAAUUUACAUUUUAAAUAAUGCUAUUUUAUUUACUUUUUAAGAGAAAAGAAUGUAAAUUUUGUCCGUUUAUUUCUGACUAGGGACUUGUUUUUAUUUAAAUAUAUAUAUAUAGUACAAAGUGGUACUAGCAUCGUACUGUAUAAAAUUAUUUGUACAUUCCCAAGUAGAAAUAAAUUGUAUACAUGCAAAGGACAUUCACAUUCAAAACAAUGCUUAAAUCUUAUGAGGGCUUUAUACAAAUGUAGAAACCAGUUUUGUUAGAAGAACAUAUGCCAUUAUAUCUCGGAUUGGAAAAUAAGCUCUUCAAUAUGAAUUUGUAUUUGGCAGAUUAAACUUUAAUUUUGCCUUUCUAAUGGCCUUUAUUAGAAAAGUUAAUUUAGAGACUUUUCAAACCAGUGAACAUAAGUACUAAUGGGCAUAUGUUAUUUCCCUAAAAAUAAUCAUGAAAAAAUGCAGAACAUCAGAUCAAUUAAACAUUAUUUCAGAAAUUGCAGAAACGUUGAAUCUAGCAACAAAAAACUCAUUAGCGUUAACAAUUUUAAGGAGUUAAAAAUUUUAUUUAAUAAAGCUAAAGCAGGUAGUUGUAUGUUAUAAAAAGUGACACCGACAUUCUAAAUAGGUGAUCAGAGUAGUUAAUGUUGUUAUAUAUGGCAUUAUAAAAUUGGUCCUGAUCUUGCUUAAAAACAUAAAGCUUCUGUGUCUACCGUUAACUAUGGAGUGCAUGAUAAUAUCCCUUCUUUUAACCUGGGAAUAUAUUGGCCACCUUGGAUUUAGUGAUAUAAAUAGAACUGUAGGAAAAAAAAAAAAAAA